rnacentral:lncRNA from 1 species
AUGGAAAUGAAAGAUGGAUAUCCCAAUAGUACCUGGAAUCUGAAAUCAAGAGAUUGCGAAAAAGAAGGCAAAACCCUAUUUGGAUUAUACUUGCUUUGGCUGUUUUGUGAAACCCAUGGAACCUCUGAGGAUCUGCACAAUCUGCCUGAGACAAGACAGCAUAGCAAGCAAUUAUGUAGGUACGCUGGCAUUCUUGCUGAAGAUACGAGUCUUGCUUCACUGCCAAAAAGAGGAUAUACUUUUAAAACAUGUUUAAGCUAGAAUUACGAUUUUUAGAUGAGAAGAAUGAUUUGCCCUAUGUGGGACUAAUUAAAAGAGGUGUUCUUAAAUGCAGAUAAGACUUGAGUUUCAUUGGACAGAACAGUUAUGAAUAAAUAAAGUCCUCUCUGCUUGGCA